CAACCCAUGUGACCAUACCAAACUGUUGCCUCGGCGGGGUCACGCCCCGGGUGCGUAANGCCCCGGAACCAGGCGCCCGCCGGAGGGACCAACCAAACUCUUCGGGAGUCCCCUCGCGGACGUUAUUUCUUACAGCUCUGAGCAAAAAUUCAAAAUGAAUCAAAACUUUCAACAACGGAUCUCUUGGUUCUGGCAUCGAUGAAGAACGCAGCGAAAUGCGAUAAGUAAUGUGAAUUGCAGAAUUCAGUGAAUCAUCGAAUCUUUGAACGCACAUUGCGCCCGCCAGUAUUCUGGCGGGCAUGCCUGUCCGAGCGUCAUUUCAACCCUCGAACCCCUCCGGGGGGUCGGCGUUGGGGAUCGGGAACCCCUAAGACGGGAUCCCGGCCCCGAAAUACAGUGGCGGUCUCGCCGCAGCCUCUCCUGCGCAGUAGUUUGCACAACUCGCACCGGGAGCGCGGCGCGUCCACGUCCGUAAAACACCCAACUUCUGAAAUGUUGACCUCGGAUCAGGUAGGAAUACCCGCUGAACUUAAGCAUAUCAAUAAGCGGAGGAAAAAUUGCUGAUCAACCAUGGUUAAGAAGGUUAAGACCUUUUCUUAUUUAUUGAGUAAAAAUAGAGCAGAAUUCCCCCGUCAAACACUAAAAAUCGCCAUAAACGGGGAGUAACACGAACGAAAAAGGAUUACUUCUGAAUAUAUCGAACCAGGCUUUGACAACUGUGCAAUAAAACCCCGAUUGUCUCUUGUGUUGUUUUUUUAAUAACCUUGGGCACUCGAAUGAUGAGUUCGUGCACUUAAGGGUGUCUCAGGCCGCGCACGUAUGUGUCUCGUCAGUGCUGCCGUACUUUCUCACUCAGAGGUAAAUUGAGGGGGGUGGCGCCCAAGU
rnacentral:rRNA from 1 species